CAGAACGAACGCUGGCGGCGUGGAUAAGACAUGCAAGUCGAACGAGAGAAUUGCUAGCUUGCUAAUAAUUCUCUAGUGGCGCACGGGUGAGUAACACGUGAGUAACCUGCCCCCGAGAGCGGGAUAGCCCUGGGAAACUGGGAUUAAUACCGCAUAGUAUCGAAAGAUUAAAGCAGCAAUGCGCUCGGGGAUGGGCUCGCGGCCUAUUAGUUAGUUGGUGAGGUAACGGCUCACCAAGGCGAUGACGGGUAGCCGGUCUGAGAGGAUGUCCGGCCACACUGGAACUGAGACACGGUCCAGACACCUACGGGUGGCAGCAGUCGAGAAUCAUUCACAAUGGGGGAAACCCUGAUGGUGCGACGCCGCGUGGGGGAAUGAAGGUCUUCGGAUUGUAAACCCCUGUCAUGUGGGAGCAAAUUAAAAAGAUAGUACCACAAGAGGAAGAGACGGCUAACUCUGUGCCAGCAGCCGCGGUAAUACAGAGGUCUCAAGCGUUGUUCGGAA
rnacentral:rRNA from 1 species